rnacentral:rRNA from 1 species
AUGAGUGUUCUGUCAAGAAGCGGGCAGAGGUUUCUCUGGGUGGUGCACCACCCCAACGAAAAGGACAGCAGCGCGGCCUACCUCGGCACUGCCGCUACCGAUGCCGACCCGCUGAGCUACCUGCCCGAAGGGUUCGUCGAGAGGAUGAGCGGCACAGGGCUCCUUGUGCCACUAUGGGCACCGCAGGUGGAGAUCCUUAACCACGCCGCCGUGGGAGGGUUCAUGUCUCAUUGCGGAUGGAACUCCACGCUGGAGAGCGUGUCGGCGGGCGUGCCGAUGGUGGCGUGGCCGUUGUACGCCGAGCAGAGGUUGAACGCAGUGAUGUUGUCGUCGGAGCGGGUGGGCCUGGCGUUGUAUGUAAGGCCUCCGCUCGGUAAGGACGGUGCGGUUGUCCCACGGGACGACGUGGCGGCGCUGGUCAGGGCGCUUAUGGAAGUGGAGAAGGGCGCCGCGGCGCGGAAAAAGGCCGGCCACCUCCGGGCUGAGGCCAAGAUUGCUUCGGCGCCGGGCGGGCCGCAGGAUCGAGCUCUCACGGUAGUGGCUCGCAUGAUUUCCUUGCAUCGGAAGAGCCACGAUAUGAAAGCAAUUUUACAUGUGUGGAAAACUUUGGGUCUAUCUGAGGCGAUUCAACAUGCUUUGUGUGCGGAUAGAUUGGGAUCAGUUGUUGGAAGCGCUCCUUUAUCUGAUGUCCUCAAUGCGGCGUCUGCUGAGGCCCUGUCGGUUCAUAAAAGUAUUGAUCUCAUUGAGCACUUGGAAUGCAUGAAUUUGGCUAUAGAAUCAGACUCUUUGGAAGUUAUUAGUGCAUGCAGAGGCGAGUUCGAGGUGCUAGCCCCCUAUGGAUAA